CGUCAGCUCGUGUCGUGAGAUGUUGGUUAGUCCCGCAACGAGCGCAACCCCUACUUGUUAGUUGCCAUCAUUCAGUUGGGCGACUCUAGCGAGACUGCCGGUAAUAAACCGGAGGAAGGUGGGGAUGACGUCAAAUCAUCAUGCCCCUUAUGACCUGGGCUACACACGUGCUACAAUGGUUGGUACAACGAGUUGCGAGUCGGUGACGGCGAGCUAAUCUCUUAAAGCCAAUCUCAGUUCGGAUUGUAGGCUGCAACUCGCCUACAUGAAGUCGGAAUCGCUAGUAAUCGCGGAUCAGCACGCCGCGGUGAAUACGUUCCCGGGCCUU
rnacentral:rRNA from 1 species